rnacentral:lncRNA from 1 species
GGUUGUCAUCUGAACUGAUUUAUUGAAUUACUUUAUUUUAUUUUUUUUUUUUAAUUGCAGAUAAUCCAGAGCACGUUUCAAGGCACAGACUUAGAAAAACUGAAGAAUUGACACUGAAGCACUGCAGGUGCUGAAAGCCCCAUUUUAUCCACCCGUGGUCAUCCAGCAGUGGUCAAGCAUCUACGUGUACCAGCUGUCAGCUGAACAGGGACCUGCAGGCUGGAGGAGAAAAUGCACAGGGCUUGCAGAGAUAAGUGCUGAUGGAGAGCUGGAGAGAAUGCCUGUGUCAUGAGCUAUAUCAGAGCCAAAGUAUCAGAGUGUCUGGCACAUGUCAUGCCCCACAUAAACUGCUGAAACACAGACCAGGUCAUAUACAAGGUUUGUUACAAGGGAUUAAAAGAGAACAUUUCACCACCUUAUGUAUCUGGUCAGACAACACCUGGCAGGCCAGCCAAGGGAUAUGAACGUUCUUCCCAUCUGAAGGGUUGUCUCAAGGAGCAUCAUCUACAGGUACAGGUAGGCUCACACCAAUCCCCCACGCUGGGAUACCCAGAAGCUCAGAGCCAAUGUGAUGUUUGAAGCAUAUACCUGACUCCCCAUAUUCUGUGUAUGCGUCUCUAAUGGCAGGGAGGUGAGCAAUAACAAUCAUGAAAUACUGCAUACACAACUUUUCAUCCAGGAGUGUGCAAGGCUGACUCCACUGACCAGCAGCAGAUGAUGGUCUUGUUCCCUGCUCCUUGUCCUUGGAGCCACCCAUGUCUGAGAGCUUGUUUAGUCCCUGUCUGAACCACACUUACCCUGGCAAUGAGAUCCAUAGGUGAAUCUUAUCCCAUGUGAGAAGUUAUUUUCUUCUUUGUUUUCUAAAACUCACUGUCUGGUCUCUUCAUCGGAUGGGCUUAAAUCCUCUGGUGGCAUGAAACACCAUUCCUCCUAUUUUGGGUCAUGACCUAAUCAUACCAAAUUAUUGUUGGCUCCAGCAUCUCUGAGAUAGCUGGUGGGGAAACUGCAGGCUUUUAAAAGCUAUGCCCUUUGCUGGGUAUUAGAUGUGCUAUUAUUGCCAUUCUCUUCCCUACCAGAGCACAAAGCGUGCUUAGCAGCACUCACGGACCUCCUCAAAAAACAGUACACAGGCUGAAACUACAGUCUGUCCUGCAGUUUCUCUUCACGUGCUCUGUGCUGAUAAUGGAAACCCAAGUAAGGAGGGAGGCAGAUGCUCUGGGAAACUAGUUUUCUUCUUUCUAUUCCUCCUCAGGGAAUACAGGCAGACAUGAUUAGCAUGGAUUUUAUAAGCUGCCUGUAGGAAACAGUGAUAAAAUUAACUUCUCCUUUAUGAUUCAUAAAUAUUAAUAAUGUGUCCAGAUCUGAUUUCAAGAUCUGAAAUCAAGAUGAUUAGUUAAAGCAAGGAAAAU